CAUCAGUAAUAUUAAAUGCAAUCUCCUCAUCCCCACUAACACCUGAGGAGAGCACAUCCUCACAAUCCCAGUUAUGGGAUGUGACAAUGGCACGCACCCUGGCUUUACUAACAGGU